rnacentral:rRNA from 2 species
AUGGACGCAAGUCUGAUGGAGCAACACCGCGUGAGUGAAGAAGGCUUUCGGGUCGUAAAACUCUGUUGUUGGAGAAGAAUGGUCGGCAGAGUAACUGUUGUCGGCGUGACGGUAUCCAACCAGAAAGCCACGGCUAACUACGUGCCAGCAGCCGCGGUAAUACGUAGGUGGCAAGCGUUAUCCGGAUUUAUUGGGCGUAAAGCGAGCGCAGGCGGUUUUUUAAGUCUGAUGUGAAAGCCCUCGGCUUAACCGAGGAAGUGCAUCGGAAACUGGGAAACUUGAGUACAGAAGAGGACAGUGGAACUCCAUGUGUAGCGGUGAAAUGCGUAGAUAUAUGGAAGAACACCAGUGGCGAAGGCGGCUGUCUGGUCUGUAACUGACGCUGAGGCUCGAAAGCAUGGGUAGCGAACAGGAUUAGAUACCCUGGUAGUCCAUGCCGUAAACGAUGAAUGCUAGGUGUUGGAGGGUUUCCGCCCUUCAGUGCCGCGGCUAACGCAUUAAGCAUUCCGCCUGGGGAGUACGACCGCAAGGUUGAAACUCAAAGGAAUUGACGGGGGCCCGCACAAGCGGUGGAGCAUGUGGUUUAAUUCGAAGCAACGCGAAGAACCUUACCAGGUCUUGACAUCUUUUGAUCACCUGAGAGAUCAGGUUUCC